GACGAACGCUGGCGGCGUGCUUAACACAUGCAAGUCGAACGAAGAGCGAUGGAAGCUUGCUUCUAUCAAUCUUAGUGGCGAACGGGUGAGUAACGCGUAAUCAACCUGCCCUUCAGAGGGGGACAACAGUUGGAAACGACUGCUAAUACCGCAUACGAUCCAAUCUCGGCAUCGGGACUGGAUGAAAGGUGGCCUCUAUUUAUAAGCUAUCACUGAAGGAGGGGAUUGCGUCUGAUUAGCUAGUUGGAGGGGUAACGGCCCACCAAGGCGAUGAUCAGUAGCCGGUCUGAGAGGAUGAACGGCCACAUUGGGACUGAGACACGGCCCAGACUCCUACGGGAGGCAGCAGUGGGGAAUCUUCCGCAAUGGACGAAAGUCUGACGGAGCAACGCCGCGUGAGUGAUGACGGCCUUCGGGUUGUAAAGCUCUGUUAAUUGGGACGAAUGGUUCUUGUGCGAAUAGUGCGAGGAUUUGACGGUACCGGAAUAGAAAGCCACGGCUAACUACGUG
rnacentral:rRNA from 1 species